UCAAAUUUUUCAAAUUAACUGUGUCGGUUUUAAAAGUGCUCCUCCUCUGGUCAACAUAUGAAAUAACAAGUGUGUGCAAAAAUUUGAAGUGCUCCCCCUCUGGCCAACAUAUGUAAUAAGUGCGUGUAAGAAACUGAAAUGCGCCCCCUUUGGCCAAAAUUAAUUUAAAAACAAAUAUAUAUGUAUAUAGAGAUAUGCUGUAAUAACUUGAAGUAAAUAAGGAACAUUAAAAAACAAUUACAAACAAAAAAAAUAACUAAAAGCUUCCCUUUUUAAUAGUUGCAUAGUAUGUAUAUAUUAUUAAUGUUGUGAAUACAAAUAUUUGUAUCUAGAAAAGGUGGUCCUAAAGAGGUAGGCAUUUUUCGGUCUCAAGAAGGUAACAAAUACAAUAAUUUGUGUGUGUGUGUUUGUUCUUGUAUUUCUACCCUUCUUGAGACAUCAACAAGGAAAAGUACCAUCCAUAUGAGGACCGGUGAACAAGUUAGGACAUAAAUCAUGGUCCCAAUACGGAAAACCACUGCACCUGAUAGAGAAUGUCUCAUUUGCACCCCCGGUGGUGAAAUCUAUCAAUUUUUUCCAAUUGACUGUGUGUCGGUUUUAAAAGUGUUCUCUUUUGGUCAACAUAUGAAAUAACAAGUGUGUGUAAAAAUUUGAAGUGCUCCCCCUCUGGCCAACAGAUGUAAUAACAAGUGUAUGUAAGAAAGUGAAAUGCGCCCCCUUUGGAUAAAAUUAACUAAAAUAAAUAAAUAAAUAUGUAUAUAGAGACAUGCUGUAAUAACUUGAAGUAAAUAAAGAAGAUUAAAAACCAAUUACAAACAAAAAGACAAAACUAAAAGCUUCCCUUUUUUAUAUUUGCAUAGUAUGUAUAUAUUAUUAAUGUUGUAAAUACAAAUCUUUAUAUCGAGAAAAGGUGGUCAUAAAGAGGUAGGCAUUUUUCGGAGGUCUCAAGGAGGUAACAAAUACAGUCAUUUGUGUGUGUGUGUGGGUGUGUGUGUGUGUGUGUGUGUGUGUGUGUGUGUGUUCUUGUAUUUCUACCCUUCUUGAGACACCAACAAAGAAAUGUACCGUCCAUAUGAGGACUGGUGAACAAGUUAGGACAUAAAUCAGAAAACCAUUGCACCUGAUAGAGAAUGUCUCAUUUGCACCCCCGGGUGAAAUCUAUACAUUUUUUCAUUUUUUCUCUGGUCAACAUAUGAAAUAACAAGUGUGUGUAAAAAUUUGAAGUGCUCCCCCUCUGGCCAACAUAUGUAAGUGUGUGUAAGAAACUGAUAUGCGCCCCUUGGUCAAAAUUAAAAAAACAUUUUUAAAAAUACCGCAACCCCAAAAGGGACAAGCGGUAGAAAAUGGAUGGAUGGAUGUAUAUAGAGACAUACUGUAAUAAGUUGAAGUAAAUAAUGAAGAUUAAAAAAUAAUUACAAACAUAAAAUUCACGAACUAAAAGCUUACCUUUUUUAUAUUUGCAUAGUAUGUAUAUAUUAUUAAUGUUGUAGAUACAAAUCUUUAUAUAUCUAGAAAGGGUGGUCCUAAAGAGGUAGGCAUUUUUCCGAGGUCUCAAGAAGGUAAGAAAUACAAGAAUGUCUGUGUGUGGGUGUGGGUGUGGGUGUGUGUCCUGCUACUCCGUCAUCUACAAAAGUGGCAGCUCGACGCAAAGCUUUUGUUGACGUUCAAGAAGGAAAAGGAAGUCGAUCCCGCAUGUGAAGAUGGGAUCUCUGACGGACUGACCUCGGCACCGGCGAAGAAGAAUGCGUUAACACGGACCCGUCAUGGCGCUGACCCAUCUGGCGCUGGAGCUGUGUUUCCAGGGGAAAAAGUUGAGGGGCUUCACCUGCAAACUGACCCGCUCAGCUCACGGCUUCCUCCCCGAGAGUUCUUGGAUCAUCGCCGCCCAGGUGCUGGUGCCGUACCUGGUGUCCGGUCUGGGCAUGGUGGCGGCCGGCAUAGUCAUGGAUAUCGUGCAACACUGGGCUGUGUUUCAAGAGAUCUCCGAGGUGUUUAUCUUGGUUCCAGCUCUAGUGGGGCUGAAGGGGAAUCUGGAGAUGACGCUGGCAUCCAGACUGUCAACAGCAGCCAACACCGGGCAGCUGGAGGAGCCUCAGCAGCUGUGGAAGACAGUUAGCUGUAAUCUGGCUCUCAUUCAGGUCCAGGCUACAGUUGUUGGCUUCCUGGCAGCCGUGGCGGCAGUGAGUCUCGGAGUUGUGAGCAGAGGGAAAGUCGACGUUCUUCACGCCGCCAUCUUGUGUGUCAGCAGCGUCACCACCGCCUUCGUGGCCGCGCUAACUCUCGGUCUGGUGAUGGUGGCGGUGAUCGUGUGCUCCAGGAGAGUGGGCAUCAACCCAGAUAACGUAGCCACGCCCAUCGCUGCGAGCCUGGGUGACCUCAUCACUUUGUCUUUGCUGGCAGGGAUCAGCAGCUUCUUCCUGUGCUACAGAGACAUGUGGUACCUACCUCCUGCAGUGUGUGGCUUCUUCCUGCUUCUGGUGCCGGUCUGCGUGCUCGUCGCCCGCCAGUCUCCGCCCGUCACAGAGGUCUUGAGGUCAGGCUGGCAGCCGGUGAUCUUGGCCAUGUCCAUCAGCAGUAUUGGUGGUCUGAUCCUGGAUAGGACAGUGAGCGAUCCAAACUUUGAGGGGAUGGCAGUUUUUACACCCGUCAUCAAUGGUGUGGGAGGCAAUCUGGUCGCCAUCCAAGCCAGCAGGAUGUCUACCUACCUGCACUGUUGGAGUGUUCCUGGAGCUCUGCCGUUCAAAAUGACCAUGAAGUGUCCAGGACCUGGUGGUACCUUCUGCUCCUCAGAUGUGAAUUCCAAAUCCGCCAGAGUCCUCGUCAUCCUUGUAGUCCCCGGUCACCUGCUCUUCCUAUACAUGAUCCACCUUCUACAGGCCGGACACACGGCCAUGACGGCCACCUUCAUCGCCUGCUACCUGUCCGCCGCUCUAAUUCAGGUGGUGAUUCUGCUGCAUGCGGCCAACGUGCUGGUGAGGUGGCUGUGGCAAAGGGGCUUGGACCCGGACAACUUCUCCAUCCCUUACCUGACAGCUCUGGGGGACCUGCUGGGAACAGGUUUCUUGGCCCUGAGCUUCAGACUGAUUUGGAAGAUCAGCUUGUGAGAGCCUUGGAAUUGGACAGACCGGGACUCGAAGGCCCAUGCAAGACUUGAGAGGCCCGCGGGCGACUCAUCUGGUCCUUACGGGCGACCUGGUGCCCGCAGGCACCGCGUUGGUGACCCCUGGUAAGUUACUAUAUAGUCUAUAGCCUAGCUAGCUAUUUUCGAAAACCGGACAACGAGAGGAUACCAAAGGCAGCGUUAAGAUGGACACCACCGGGAAAACGUAAGCCAGGGCGGCCAAAGAACACCUGGCGAAGAACAGUUGAAGGGGAGCUGAAAGAGAUGAAGCUUACAUGGGGCGAGGCACAGAGACGAGCACAGCAGCGAGAUGAAUGGCGUCGAGUCGUCGAAGCCUUAUUUCCCAUCCGGGAAGAAGAGGAUUAAGUUAAGGUGAUGGUCGGCUGGCAGCGCUUCAUAGCAGCAGUUGACCUCCAGGGUUCCAACUCCCCGCCCCUCUGUUGCGAGUUGUCGUGAUUAAAUGUAACGUGUUUAUGUGUGCAUUGCAUGGAGGUUUUUCCCACUCCAGACUAGGCCCCCUUAGGAGCCCAGUUUAGAUUGUAUUUUUUUACUCAUCUUCUUCCCCAGCGUUUUACCCUUUUCUUAUCUUUUACGGGGCGCCUUUGGCGACCCAUCAGCGUUCCUGUUCUGUAACCCUGUACACUGUUUGUUUGUCUAAUCUUGAACGGGUUUGUGCUGAAAACAUAGUUUCGUUGUACUUGUGCAAUGACAAUAAAGUCCUAUCCUAUCCUAGGAGUCUUUUUGUUUAAACCUGAU